rnacentral:rRNA from 1 species
AGAGUUUGAUCCUGGCUCAGGACGAACGCUGGCGGCGCGCCUAACACAUGCAAGUCGAACGAGAGAUGAGGAGCUUGCUCUUCAGAUCGAGUGGCGAACGGGUGAGUAACGCGUGAGGAACCUGCCUCAAAGAGGGGGACAACAGUUGGAAACGACUGCUAAUACCGCAUAAGCCCACGGCUCGGCAUCGAGCAGAGGGAAAAGGAGCAAUCCGCUUUGAGAUGGCCUCGCGUCCGAUUAGCUAGUUGGUGAGGUAACGGCCCACCAAGGCGACGAUCGGUAGCCGGACUGAGAGGUUGAACGGCCACAUUGGGACUGAGACACGGCCCAGACUCCUACGGGAGGCAGCAGUGGGGAAUAUUGCACAAUGGGGGAAACCCUGAUGCAGCGACGCCGCGUGGAGGAAGAAGGUCUUCGGAUUGUAAACUCCUGUUGUUGAGGAAGAUAAUGACGGUACUCAACAAGGAAGUGACGGCUAACUACGUGCCAGCAGCCGCGGUAAAACGUAGGUCACAAGCGUUGUCCGGAAUUACUGGGUGUAAAGGGAGCGCAGGCGGGAGAACAAGUUGGAAGUGAAAUCCAUGGGCUCAACCCAUGAACUGCUUUCAAAACUGUUUUUCUUGAGUAGUGCAGAGGUAGGCGGAAUUCCCGGUGUAGCGGUGGAAUGCGUAGAUAUCGGGAGGAACACCAGUGGCGAAGGCGGCCUACUGGGCACCAACUGACGCUGAGGCUCGAAAGUGUGGGUAGCAAACAGGAUUAGAUACCCUGGUAGUCCACACCGUAAACGAUGAUUACUAGGUGUUGGAGGAUUGACCCCUUCAGUGCCGCAGUUAACACAAUAAGUAAUCCACCUGGGGAGUACGACCGCAAGGUUGAAACUCAAAGGAAUUGACGGGGGCCCGCACAAGCAGUGGAGUAUGUGGUUUAAUUCGACGCAACGCGAAGAACCUUACCAAGUCUUGACAUCCCUUGACGAACAUAGAAAUAUGUUUUCUCUUCGGAGCAAGGAGACAGGUGGUGCAUGGUUGUCGUCAGCUCGUGUCGUGAGAUGUUGGGUUAAGUCCCGCAACGAGCGCAACCCUUAU